rnacentral:rRNA from 1 species
AUGGCGAGUGGCAGCAACAAGGAACCCACAGUGGCAUCAGGUGACGAGGCCGCUAGCUCGGCCGCCGGUCCGCCAGGGGUGGCAGCGCCGCCGCCACAAGGAGCUGAGCCCGGGGACGAUGAGGCGGCGGCGGCCGUGCUGGCUGCUGGCCCCACCAGGCCAUACUACGAGUGCGUCUUCUGCAAGCGCGGGUUCACCACGGCGCAGGCUCUCGGUGGGCACAUGAACAUCCACCGCCGCGACCGUGCCAAACCCAGCGUCCGCGACGCUCCCAGCGGCACCACCACAUCAGCGUCUCCAAACGUCGAGUGCUAUAAUCAGUACUACAGCCACCACCUGCCGUAUCCCACAGUGCCUCCGGCGACGGCGACGCCGAUGAGCACGAGCGGAAGUUUCACGCUAGCGUACUACCAGCAUCAGGGCACAGGGGCUUCGACCGGAGACGCGCAUGCGGAUGCCUCCGUGAACCCUAGCAGUGCUAGCCCGAGGGAGCUCAGCCUGUUCGGUGCGGCAGCUCGUGACCGUGACUCGCACGGCCGCGGUAGCGACGGGUCUGGCGUGGCGCCAGAAGGGUCGGAUCGGCAGGCAGGUGAGCCGCCCGAAAGGGAGAUUGACCUGGAGCUCAGGCUCGGACGUCGUCCGCAUUGA